rnacentral:rRNA from 1 species
AGUCUGGUGCCAGCAGCCGCGGUAAUUCCAGCUCCAAUAGGAUAUAUCAAAGUUGUUGCAGUUAAAAAGCUCGUAGUUGAAGUUUUGGAGAGUAGUCUUUGUCUUUUCCGGCUUGGGGGGCAAUCCUCUUCGGGAAGGGCACUCUCUCCACAUUGUGGACCAUCCCUUCUUGUUUUUGCGAUUUUUUUCGCGAAAGCAGAAAGGGCCACUCCGUCACUGAGAGCAAAUUGGAGUGCUCAAAGCAGGCUUUACAGCUUUGAACAUAUUAGCUUGGAAUGACAAGAUACGACUCUGGUCGGUUUAUUUUGUUGGUUAUUUAGACUAGAGUAAUGAUUAACAGGAACAGUAGCGGGGGUACUCGUAUUGAAAGGUCAGAGGUGAAAUUCUUGGAUUCUUUCAAGACGAACGACUGCGAAAGCAUUUACCAAGGAUGUUUUCAUUAAUCAAGAACGAAAGCUUGGGGAUCGAAGAUGAUUAGAUACCAUCGUAGUCCAACGCCAUAAACGAUGCCGACUCGGGAUUGGUAGGUGUUCUUUUUAAAACAUGAACCCUAUCAGCACCGUAUGAGAAAUCAAAGUCUUUGGGUUCCGGGGGGAGUAUAGUCGCAAGGAAGAAACUUAAAGGAAUUGACGGAAGGGCACACCAGAGGUGGAGCCUGCGGUUUAAUUUGACCCAACACGGGGAAACUUACCAGGUCCAGACAUGAUGAGGAUUGACAGUUUGAAAGCACUUUCUUGAUUUCAUGGGUGGUGGUGCAUGGCCGUUCUUAGUUGGUGGAGUGAUUUGUCUGGUUGAUUCCGAUAACGAACGAGACGGGGGGAGUUUACUAGUUUGCAUAAUCUAAUUCGCGUUAGAUGGAACUUCUUUACUCGACAACUCGGUUUUACCGAGAGGAAGCGCCCCGCAAUAACAGGUCUUGAUGCCCUUAGAUGUUCUGGGCUACACGCGCGCUACAAUGACGAGUUCAACGAGUUUUUUAUUCCUUGUCCGGAAGGAUGUGGGUAAUCUUUUCAAUGCUCGUCGUGAUGGGGCUAGAUUUUUGCAAUUAUUAAUCUUCAACGAGGAAUCUCUAGUAUGUGCAGUUCAUCAGACUGCGCAGAAUGCGUCCCUGCCCUUUGUACACACCGCCCGUCGCACCUACCGAUUGGACGAUCCGGCAAGAUGUUUGGAGUGUUGUGUUUGUGUGAUUUCGAUCAUGUGAACAUGACGCAAAGCUC